AUUGAACGCUGGCGGCAGGCCUAACACAUGCAAGUCGAACGAGUGGCGGACGGGUGAGUAAUGUCUGGGAAACUGCCCGAUGGAGGGGGAUAACUACUGGAAACGGUAACUAAUACCGCAUACCAUCGGAUGUGCCCAGAUGGGAUGAGCUAGUAGGUGGGGUACCGGCUCACCUAGGCGACGAUCCCUAGCUGGGCUGUGAGGAUGAACAGCCACGCUCGAACUGAGACACGGUCCAGACUCCUACGGGAGUCAGCAGUGGGGAAUAUUGCAAAAUGGGCGCAAGCCUGAGGCAGCCAUGCCGCGUGUAUGAAGAAGGCAUUCGGGUUGUAAAGUACUUUCAGCGAGGAGGCGUUACUCGCAGAAGAAGCACCGGCUAACGCCGUGCCAGCAGCCGCGGUAAUUC
rnacentral:rRNA from 1 species